rnacentral:rRNA from 2 species
GCAUAUCAAUAAGCGGAGGAAAAGAAACCAACAGGGAUUGCCCUAGUAACGGCGAGUGAAGCGGCAACAGCUCAAAUUUGAAAUCUGGCGUCUUCGGCGUCCGAGUUGUAAUUUGCAGAGGGCGCUUUGGCAUUGGCAGCGGUCCAAGUUCCUUGGAACAGGACGUCACAGAGGGUGAGAAUCCCGUACGUGGUCGCUAGCCUUUACCGUGUAAAGCCCCUUCGACGAGUCGAGUUGUUUGGGAAUGCAGCUCUAAAUGGGAGGUAAAUUUCUUCUAAAGCUAAAUACUGGCCAGAGACCGAUAGCGCACAAGUAGAGUGAUCGAAAGAUGAAAAGCACUUUGGAAAGAGAGUUAAAAAGCACGUGAAAUUGUUGAAAGGGAAGCGCUUGCAGCCAGACUUGCCUGUAGUUGCUCAUCCGGGUUUCUACCCGGUGCACUCUUCUAUAGGCAGGCCAGCAUCAGUUUGGGCGGUUGGAUAAAGGUCUCUGUCAUGUACCUCCUUUCGGGGAGAACUUAUAGGGGAGACGACAUGCAACCAGCCCGGACUGAGGUCCGCGC